rnacentral:rRNA from 1 species
AGUGAACGCUGGCGGCAGGCCUAACACAUGCAAGUCGAGCGGCAGCGGGUUCCCGCGAGGGGAUGCCGGCGAGCGGCGGACGGGUGAGGAACACAUCGGAAUCUGCCUGGUUGUGGGGGAUAACGUAGGGAAACUUACGCUAAUACCGCAUGAGACCCUGAGUCGACGGACUGGGGGUGAAAGUGAGGGACCUUCGGGCCUCACGCGACCAGAUGAGCCGAUGUCGGAUUAGCUAGUUGGCGGGGUAACGGCCCGCCAAGGCGACGAUCCGUAGCUGGUCUGAGAGGAUGAUCAGCCACACUGGGACUGAGACACGGCCCAGACUCCUACGGGAGCAGCAGUGGGAAUCUUGGACAAUGGGCGCAAGCCUGAUCCAGCCAUGCCGCGUGGG